rnacentral:rRNA from 1 species
CGUAGGGUGCGAGCGUUAAUCGGAAUUACUGGGCGUAAAGCGUGCGCAGGCGGUUUUGUAAGACAGAUGUGAAAUCCCCGGGCUCAACCUGGGACCUGCAUUUGUGACUGCAAGGCUAGAGUACGGUAGAGGGGGAUGGAAUUCCGCGUGUAGCAGUGAAAUGCGUAGAUAUGCGGAGGAACACCGAUGGCGAAGGCAAUCCCCUGGACCUGUACUGACGCUCAUGCACGAAAGCGUGGGGAGCAAACAGGAUUAGAUACCCUGGUAGUCCACGCCCUAAACGAUGUCAACUGGUUGUUGGGUCUUUACUGACUCAGUAACGAAGCUAACGCGUGAAGUUGACCGCCUGGGGAGUACGGCCGCAAGGUUG